CCUACGGGGGGCAGCAGUGAGGAAUAUUGGUCAAUGGACGAGAGUCUGAACCAGCCAAGCAGCGUGAAGGAUGACUGCCCUAUGGAUUGUAAACUUCUUUUAUAAAGGAAUAAAACGAGGCACGUGUGCCUUGUUGCAGGUACUUUAUGAAUAAGGAUCGGCUAACUCCGUGCCAGCAGCCGCGGUAAUACGGAGGAUCCGAGCGUUAUCCGGAUUUAUUGGGUUUAAAGGGAGCGUAGAUGGUUUGUUAAGUCAGUUGUGAAAGUUUGCGGCUCAACCGUAAAAUUGCAAUUGAUACUGGCAGGCUUGAGUACAGUUGAGGCAGGCGGAAUGCGUGGUGUAGCGGUGAAAUGCUUAGAUAUCACGAAGAACCCCGAUUGCGAAGGCAGCUUACUAAACUGUGACUGACGCUGAUGCUCGAAAGUGUGGGUAUCAAACAGGAUUAGAUACCCCGGUAGUC
rnacentral:rRNA from 1 species